AGCCAGAAGGAAGAUAUAAGCAUCCCACUUGAGCAAAUAUCAUGCCUUUAAGCCUAGUCUCUCCCAGAUGUUCACUCAGAUCAUUCUUGUUGAGGUUCUCUUUAGACCUGCUGUAAGGAUGGUCUCUACCUUGAGGAGUUCUUCCAUCAGUCCUUGACGCUGCUCUGUGAUCCAGAGUGAUGAAUACAUCCUAAAGACAACAGGUAAGUGAGAAGUAUGAAUGAGUAAUGAUGCAAAGACUUAAAGAGGAAGCAAGCAAAGACUACAUUGAAUUUCAACGCAAUGAUUUGGAAUCUUCGUGAACUGAAAACUCAGUUGGCCACUAAUUCCAGCUGUGCUGCAAUGUUUGUGUUUACAGAAGUGCUGGGGGAUAGCACAAUUAGUAUAUUAAGUGCAAGUAUUUUUCUCUGAUGUUGACUGUAUGGUGUAUGUUGGUCUUCUAGUUUUGUUUCCUCCAAUAUAUAAUCAGAUUGUCUGCCACUAAGGAAAAUGUUUAAUGUUUUAAUUUUUUUAUAGUGAUCUGAUAUGAGUAAGUCUAUUGCUACAUUCCUGCUCUGCUUAUGAGCUGACAAAUGCAAUUGUGAAACAGUGUAGCUUAAAUUCAGUAAUUUUUGGUCAAUUAUCAAGUUUUAUGUAACAACUGCACCCCUUGUCUCUUUCCCCAUCUUCCAUGAGCUUCUGCUCCUACUGGAGAAUCUCCUUGCUGCUUGUUUCUUUGAACCUCUUCCUCAUGCUGUGUAAGUCUAUCUGUUACCUUAGAGGCUGUUGGUGAAAAUAAUGCUCCUAACUAUGGAUGUGAUAUAUCUUUUCACAGUACAGUCUUGCUAGGCUGGAUUGCAGUAGAGAGCCCUUAUCCUUUUGUGGCUUAUGUUACUUCCACUGUGAAUGUCUUUGGAUGGGCUACACUGUUCUGCCAGUGUAGUUAAGCCAGUACAAUUUAUGUUGAUGCAACAGCUAGGCAUGCAUUUAAAUUAUUUCAGAGCUUGCAGUGCAAUAGUUGGGAUGUUCUUUGCUGUCGUGUGCCUUUGUGUGGUGAAUUGAUUGCUGAUGUCUUGUGGUUCUUUAAUUUUUUUCUUAACCUUUUCAUAUUCCUUCAGUAAGAGAGGAAGGAGGGAGAGUCAGCCAAUUUGAAUUGUUGCCUGUACAUUUUCUUGUUUUUCCACAUUUAAGUAGUUCGGGGUGAAAGAUCCUAUGCUGUGCUUUAGAAUAUACAGUGUAUGGUAAGUAAAGCCACUGUGAACGUC
rnacentral:lncRNA from 7 species